ACCCAGAUAUGAUGAAGCCUACAAGGUGUCUCGAGCAUAACUCAGUGCAGAGUUUGUCCUAUGUGGUCCUUACAAGUGAUGGCACGAGUCAGCUGGCUAACCACUAGAAAGCAAAAACAUACUCCUCAUAAGCUUUCAAUUAGAAAAAGUAAACUAACAAAGCCACAGCCACUUUUUUAAAGCUGCUUUUUCAAAGCAAGCCUGUUCUGCUGUCCUUUUGGUUUUCUUUCAGGAUCCCAAGGUAAGGAUGAGCUCCACCUCCUUCUGAAAGAUCAGAGGGGAGAGCAGGGCCGGGUGCAACCUAGAACAGCAAUGAAGAUGUCAGGAAGACUUUGGUUAGAAGGGGUCUCUGGAGGUCUCCAAUUCCACUACUUACCCAAUGCAGGGCUGGCUUCAAGGCAGACCAAGUUGCCUUGCAAGCUUUCAAUGUCUCCAUGGACAGAGACUGAAAUGUUUCAGAGAGAUCUGCUCCAGUGUUUGACUCAAUCUCCUGGUGAAGAAUUUCCUUCCUAUUGUCAGAACUUACCUUGCUGCAUUUUGUGACCUCUUGUACUUUUGCUGAGCAACUUUGAGAGGAGCCUAACUCUGCCUCCUCUGUAACCCUCCUUUAGAUGGUUGAGGAUAGCACUUAGAUCUCCCCUUAUCCUUUUCUUCUGUGGGCCAAACACCCAAGUUCCCUCAGCCUACCCUGAAAUGUUAUGCACUCCAGCCCACAGCACAGGAGCAUUUUACUCAAAAUUAAUGACACUAUUCCACUCCUGCAGAGGUCAAAACCAAUGACCUCAGCAUGUCACCCUGUGUAUUUUAAUGAUAAAAUGCUGACAUUUCAAAAUCAUUUGAGGAUUUUUUUUCCUCAUUCUACAGAGGUUAAAUGCUCAUAUAAAUCAAUGAUAAAUUAAAAAUUAUAUGGAGCUACAUUUCAUAAAAUACAGCAACAAAUCACAUCCUAGAGCAGGUGACCAUCCUCUCUGCUAGGUAUUAAGCCUGCUGCUUGGCCAGCUGAGCUACACUAAGCAUCAGAUUAAACCUGCAGAUUGAUUAGACCCAACUGGCACCUGCAGAAUUAACACCUGCGGUUUUGGUCAGCUAGCUAAGCAAAUUGAACUGAGCAGCACAAAGCUAUCAAGUUGCACUCCUUUUCACACAUAACUCUUGACGUCCUUUGCAAGAGGUUGUGAGAAACUGCAUAUUUGAUUUGGCUUGAAAUUUGAUCAUUUUCGCAGGUGACUGCAGCUUUUUAAUGCAAACAUGGAGAUACCUCUUUAUUCUCACUGCAGAGCAGAGUGGGUUUGGUGUUUUGUUCUGCUUUAGGAAACUGCCAUUGGAUAUUCAGUGACAAGCAGUUUGAAUAGAUAGAUUUAAUUUUUGCUACAGCCCUGGUUACAAUAACAAUCCUUACAUCUCUUGUAAUUACCACCCCGCAUUUCACCCACAGCUACAUAACAGCCUUUCUUUCUGUAUAUUUAAUCACCCUUCUCCUAACCUUCAACUCAACUAAUGGAGCUGCUGGUUGAUUAGCAAACAAAUAAUCACCUGAGUGCCAGAUACAGACAGCUGCACCGUGUGUGUUUCACUCACGACCCAUCUGCAGAACACAGUGAAUGCCAGAUGCUUGUCUUGGAACAAGUUUGGCAGCAGAGCACUGGACACAGAGAGUGGGGCACACAUACAUGCGUGUGAGUGUACGUACGCAGAGAAGCAAGAGUGAGGAAAGCACGGAAAAUGUUACUAAAAGGAAGUAUUUUCAUCUGCUCCAUUCUCAUGGCUAAUUUGUUUCUUAGAGUUUCCUCAGUGUCAUGACUACCAUGCCAUCUGCUGAAAAGUUCCAUGUAAUCCCAGGUAAUCAAAAAAUGAGCUGGUUGCUCAGACUGUGCAGUGAGAUCAGACUUGGUAAGUGGUCCUGACUAAUGUGGUGUGUGUGUCUCUCAUGAGUUUUAGAGUUUCUAAACACUAUAAGAUGGCAAGCAGUGACAACUAAUACCAUGUUUGGCAAAAUCUCCUGACUAAACCCAAAUUUUACAUUUGAUUCACAAAGUGGCUGCUCAGUUCAACAAAAGGUGGGCUUGUAAUAACUGUUCACAUUAUUCACACAAAUACAUUAAUAUUUUGAUAUUGCACUCAUCACCUUGAAAAGAAGUUAGCGAUUCAAUGCCAGCUUCAGCAUACAUACAGUAGAAUGCUUCUAAGACAAACCUAAGAAAUCUCAUUUAAUGAUGUGAUAUUUUAUUUUAAAAUAUACAUUCAGGUGUGUGCUGAUUACUGAGGAAUGAUAUAAAGCUCACUCAAAUCCAAAUCCACUGGCUUCUCUAAGGCUGGAUCUUACUUUAUUGAUUGAUUUUCUUGACAAAAAUGGCAUUAAGACUUUUGUGGAACCUGGGUUUAUAUCAGAGACUUUUUAAACUGAGAAGUGUAAAAAUAAAACAAAAGAGAGACUGAAGUUUAGAAAGUAAAGGUUUGUUUGGCAUCCUUCCAGUUGGAAAGAGAUGGUGAUUAGGUUAGAGGUAACCCAUCUUUUUUAACUAACCUUGAGCAAAACUCAAACUUGUGCCUAGUAUAGAUGCACAUUAACACUGUAAUAAUGUAUUUACCUUUUGCUUUUUAGUGAUGAAGGCAGACACUAGUAAAGACACAGUCAAACUGAGGUAGAGAGGUAUUAAACUUUUUCCUUACAUAGGUUUAGCUCUGAAUGUCAGACUGGAUGUUGCAAGCAGGCAAAUGGAUGGGAGUAGCAAUAUAAGAGCAGAAAUAUUUUACCCAUCUUAUUUGGGAAUGUCAGUCUGAUUACAAUGAGGGAAAGAGGAAGAGAAAGAAGAAGGGGAAGAGGAAAAGAAAGGGGAAAGGGAAGAGAAAAGGGAAAGGAAAAGGCCCUCUGUCUUCACUAGACUAAUAUUUAAAUUCCCAUCCAUUUUUUUUGAUCAUACUCUUCCUUCAGAGCACGACACUGUCUUCAGUUUGCUGAAGAAGACACAAACUCCCUUGAAGACCUCCUUUUAGGUGAAAUUGCCCAACAAACUAGAGAACUCCCUAGAUGUAAGUCCAUGUGAGGAAAUGCAAGAAUCCUCUGCAGAGCUCACCCCAGUAUCUCCCUGGCAGCAUAAGACCACUGUGCCACUAGCAAUCUCUGCUUGUGCAAACACAACAGCAAACACAGGUGAACCUUCUGAAAGAUCUAAUCUCAGAAAAUGUACAGAGCUGCUUGAUCCACAUGUCCAGAGAUUUCCAAUCUGUACCACUGAUGGUCUGCAUGGAACCUCAAAGGAGCAGCCAAACACAAUUAAAACUCUGUCUUGCUGCUUUCUUCUGCAGGCAGUGAGAGACUGCUUCAAUAGGAAACACCGCCAAUAACUCUUCAAGCAAGAAAGCUCAAGACAAGACACAGGAACCGCAGGGCCUGACCAUACAGCUACUCAUGGCAGCUUGCAAGAAAAUCACCAACCAACCAAGCAAACGACAACAAAAAAACACCAAAAAACCCCCAACAACACUCCCACCAUUCCAAAACCCCAAGAUUUGGAACCACUGUGUUGCAACUUCAACAGAAGGGAAAAUCUACUUACUGACCUGCUUGUAUUGAAGAUUACAACAAUUAAGGGGCCAUUUAACAUUAAAAGUGAUACCAAAGGAUUCACAAGGAAACUUACUGAAACUGGUAAAACUGCUCUGACAGCUUGUAUCAUACAUCUUAAAAAAAAAUAAAAAUCUACUUAAUGAU